CUUUGAAGAGAGAGUUCAAGAGUACGUGAAACCGUUCAGGGGUAAACCUGCGAAACUCGAAUGAACGAACGGAGAGAUUCAUCGUCAUUCCGCGGCGUACGGACGCGCGCCUCGAUGCCGUCGGCCUCGGUCGGCAGGCACGGGUCGCGUCCGUCGACGUCCGCGGACGGCGUGCACUUCUCUCUUAGUAAAUACAUCGCGACCCGUUCGAUGUCGGUCUAAGCGCCGUACGGGAGCCCCGUUGCCCCGGUUAAUCCCGGGGUAGCGGGACCGCGACGGUGGCCGACCGGCCGUCGGACGGUAGUUUUAAGGAAUCGCGCACGCGUUUUUGACGCGUCCGGCCCGACGCAAGUCAACGUCGUAUCCCGUGUCUACGCCCUGGUGCGGACGCGGGUGCGGCGCGUCUGCUGUCGCCGCCGUGUUGUCUCGGACUGUGCGCGUCUCUGUCUGCGAUGAUUCAGUUUCGGGCACUCGCAGGACCCG
rnacentral:rRNA from 1 species